GACGAACCGUGCGAACGUUAUUCGGAAUCACUGGGCUUAAAGCGCGUGUAGGCGGCCCGGCACGUCCGUCGCUGAAAUCCCCCGGCUCAACCGGGGAAGUGGCGUGGAUACGACCGGGCUGGAGGGGGGUAGGGGGAGCCGGAACUUCCGGUGGAGCGGUGAAAUGCGUAGAGAUCGGAAAGAACACCAACGGCGAAAGCACUCUGCUGGGCCGACACUGACACUGAGAGACGAAAGCUAGGGGAGCGAAUGGG
rnacentral:rRNA from 1 species